GAUGAACGCUAGCGGCAGGCUUAACACAUGCAAGUCGAGGGGCAGCAUGACACGGAGAUUCGUCGAAGUGUCGAUGGCGACCGGCGCAAGGGUGCGUAACGCGUGAGCAACUUGCCCGUUUCUGGGGAAUAACCGUUGGAAACGACGACUAAUACCCCAUAGUAUUCAUGAUGAGGCAUCUUAUUGUGAUUAAAGAAUUUCGGAAACGGAUAGGCUCGCGUGACAUUAGCUAGAUGGCGGGGUAACGGCCCACCAUGGCGACGAUGUCUAGGGGUUCUGAGAGGAAGGUCCCCCGGACACUGGAACUGAGACACGGUCCAGACUCCUACGGGAGGCAGCAGUGAGGAAUAUUGGUCAAUGGUCGGAAGACUGAACCAGGCCAAGUAGCGUGAAGGAUGACUGCCCUA
rnacentral:rRNA from 1 species